rnacentral:lncRNA from 1 species
CCCCUUUGAAUGUGUGCUGUGCAAUUGAUAAAUUUCUUACAAGAGGUGUCAUUCUUAAAGUCAUUGCAUGUGGAAUUAGGAUUAGAAUUAGAAUUCAAAGGCAGUACAUUUCUGACGAUUCACAGAUUUCUUUUACAUUAGAAAAUUAUGUACACAUGUCCUACAGAUAAACUUAUCAAAUUUGGUAUCUAAAUCAAAUUCAUUUUUUU